UACGGAGGGGGCAAGCGUUAUUCGGAAUUAUUGGGCGUAAAGGGCGCGUAGGCGGCUAGAUGUGUCAAAGGUGAAAUCCCUCGGCUCAACUGAGGAACUGCCUUUGAAACUGUCUGGCUUGAGGCCGGGAGAGGGUAGCGGAAUUCCCAGUGUAGCGGUGAAAUGCGUAGAUAUUGGGAGGAACACCAGUGGCGAAGGCGGCUACCUGGACCGGUAUUGACGCUGAGGCGCGAAAGCCAGGGGAGCAAACGGG
rnacentral:rRNA from 1 species